UACGGGGGGGAGCAAGCGUUGUUCGGAUUUACUGGGCGUAAAGGGCGCGUAGGCGGCACCGCAAGUCGACUGUGAAAUCUCCGGGCUUAACUCGGAAAGGUCAGCCGAUACUGCGGGGCUAGAGUGCAGAAGGGGCAACUGGAAUUCUCGGUGUAGCGGUGAAAUGCGUAGAUAUCGAGAGGAACACCUGCGGCGAAGGCGGGUUGCUGGGCUGACACUGACGCUGAGGCGCGAAAGCUAGGGGAGCGAACGGG
rnacentral:rRNA from 1 species